rnacentral:rRNA from 1 species
UACGGGGGGGGCAAGCGUUGUUCGGAAUUACUGGGCGUAAAGGGCUCGUAGGCGGCUAACUAAGUCGGAUGUGAAAUCCCCAGGCUCAACCUGGGAACUGCGUCCGAUACUGGAUGGCUUGAAUCCGGGAGAGGGAUGCAGAAUUCCAGGUGUAGCGGUGAAAUGCGUAGAUAUCUGGAGGAAUACCGGUGGCGAAGGCGGCAUCCUGGACCGGCAUUGACGCUGAGGAGCGAAAGCCAGGGGAGCAAACGGG